UUCCGGUUGAUCCCGCCGGACCUGACUGCUAUCGGAUUAAUACUAAGCCAUGCGAGUCUUUGUAGUAAUACAAGGCAUACGGCUCAGUAACACGUAGUCAACCUACCCUAUGGACGAGGAUAAUCUCGGGAAACUGAGCAUAAUACUCGAUAGAUCAUAAUGCCUGGAAUGGUUUAUGGUUGAAAUGAUUCAUCGCCAUAGGAUGGGACUGCGGCCUAUCAGCUUGUUGGUGAGGUAAUGGCCCACCAAGGCGAUUACAGGUACGGGCUCUGAGAGGAGAAGCCCGGAGAUGGGUACUGAGACAAGGACCCAGGCCCUAUGGGGCGCAGCAGGCGAGAAAACUUUGCAAUGUGCGAAAGCACGACAAGGUUAGUCCGAGUGAUUUCUGCUAAAGAGAUCUUUUGCAAGUUCUAAAACCACUAGUGAAUAAGGGGUGGGCAAGUUCUGGUGUCAGCCGCCGCGGUAAAACCAGCACCUCGAGUGGUCAGGAGGAUUAUUGGGCCUAAAGCAUCCGUAGCCGGCUCUGUAAGUUUUCGGUUAAAUCCAUGCGCUCAACGCAUGGGCUGUCGGAAAUACUGCAUAGCUAGGGAGUGGGAGAGGUAGACGGUACUCGGUAGGAAGGGGUAAAAUCCUUUGAUCUAUCGAUGACCACCUGUGGCGAAGGCGGUCUACCAGAACACGUUCGACGGUGAGGGAUGAAAGCUGGGGGAGCAAACCGGAUUAGAUACCCGGGUAGUCCCAGCUGUAAACGAUGCAGACUCGAUGAUGCAUUGGCAUAUAGCCAGUGCAGUGUCGCAGGGAAGCCGUUAAGUCUGCCGCCUGGGAAGUACGUACGCAAGUAUGAAACUUAAAGGAAUUGGCGGGGGAGCACCACAAGGGGUGAAGCCUGCGGUUCAAUUGGAGUCAACGCCGG
rnacentral:rRNA from 1 species